rnacentral:lncRNA from 1 species
AUCGGACAACCCAUAAAAAUGGCCGCCCUACAAGUUCAAUACCAAGUGCUAAUUCAUUGAAUUGGUGCUGGGUUAAGUUUCCGGUGCUGCCAAAAGCAACAUAAAUGACUGAGCCAGCAGGUUGUUUAUCGAGCCAGCCUAUGCAAGUUGAAUCCUCAGGCCAAAAGUUUGCAGCAUAAUGACCCGGAUCACGACUUGCAGGUAACGGGCCAAUUGGUAAUAAGUUAGGAAUCAAGUCACAAGCAGAUGAGUCAAGUUCGUAAACACAGUUGCAAAGAAGCCUCUUGGAAGAAUUCAUAAAUUGAAUAGAUGUGAGAUAAAUUCGGAAAACCCACUCUUGUACCUUCAGAUCAAUUGGCCACUUCCAGGGCAAGCCGUUGCAGCUCAAGACUGGAAUACCCUUCGACACGCAGAUCAACUCAUCUUUCAGAGGAGUUCCUGCAGAGAUAUUUGAAUCAUUUCUAUCAAAACCAAGAAAUUUCUUAGACAACAAGUUAAUUUUAGAAAUAUGAUAUAAAUUAACAAGUUGAAGCCUUAAUACCAUCAGUACUAUUUACGAUUCCGGCCUCAAUUAGCUUUGGAAUAUGAAGUGCCAAAGCCCAGAUUCCUGCUCCCAUAGGACAAAAAAGGACCCCUUCGAUUCCCAUCUUCUCUGCCACCUCCAUUGGCCACCGCUCAAGUGUUAUGUCAGCAAUAACACAAGUGAUCUGCUCAUCAUCAUUCGAGCGGUUGACUUUCUCAAUUAAAUCCUUCAAAUGACCCGGCAUGACUCUUGAACUACUUUCUGUUAUCUUGAGCAAGUUUUUCCGAUCGUCCCCUGGAUCCAGACCAUCUGGGAUAGAGGCUAGCCUUAUCCCACUCUGAGCCUCAGCCUCAUGUGGGAGUGCAGCCAGCAGUUUAGCAUGUAUGAAGUCAGAGUUAACAAAGGUGACCUUGAUCCCGUGAUCAGAAAUCCGGUUUGCAAGCCUCAUAAGAGGAGCAACAUGUCCUUGCGCUGGGAGUGGUAUAAUCAGCACAUGAGGUCGCCUGCCCAUGGUCCUUGCUAACUUGCCAACACUUCCACCCUUCUCUUUGCUCUGAUCCCAAGCUUCACUAAUACUGAUACUGUUUUAUUAUCCUGAGCCCUCCUUGGAACUGUAUUUAUGAAAUUGAGGUGCAAAACUUUUUUCCCUUUCAAAAAACAAAGGGAAUAUGAAGUCCUCGCUAGCCUUUUUAACAAUGAAAACUAGUGGAAGUUCACCGACACCAGGUCUGGAAAACCCUCGUCUCAGAAAUGCAAGGAAAGGGAAGAACGUGAAGAAUUUGAAGACCUUCACACUUGGAUCAACCCUUGUUUUCUUCUUUUCUCCUCACCUUUCACCUUUCACUCUCAACCGUCUGCCCACACAUGCUUCCACAUAGCCCUAGCUGCUGCAUUAUUGGCCUUAGAAACCAGCCGCCAGACCAGCCCAACAUGUGGGUUUGAAAAAAAUACUUUCCUGAGCUGGAACCCAUAUAUGGGCAAGCCCAACAAAGUCCAUCUCUGAUUUAUGAAUUUAUUUUAUUACCUCAAAGCUAUAGGUUUGUGGGUCUGGCCCACACUUAUUGUGGUGUAAUCUCCUAUGUGGUUAAUUUGUCUUUAUAGUGUCUUCUAUGGCUCUGGAAGCAUAUUUAAGAAUUUCAUUUAGUUGGCUGCGUUUCAUCUCACAGUUUUAUGACUGUUAACGUUUAAGACAAAUACGUAUCUCUGUUGUGAGUAAGCUUUUCAGGCAGUGUCCUGGAAAACUAAUAGAAUUUGGAGGACUGUCUGAUUGAUCCUAAAGAAUUUUAGCUGAGUACAAAUGAAAUGUGGAAUUUCCAUUAUUCUAAGUUUUAAACUUAUAUUUCACUUAACAACCUUUUUUUUUCCUGCAUUACCACCUCAUAUUGGAUUGUAGCCAUCUUUUCUGUCAGUUUUUUCUUCUUUUCCAGUGUUGCUGAUGCAUCAAGAUAUAUAUCUUUUGUUUUAUAUGAUGAGGAAGUCAUCAUUACGUUUUUCCUUCGUCUUUUUUACAUACAAACUCUGAUGUAGCUUGAAUCUCUUGUCUUUUGCAUCAUCAGCUGUAUUUGUCUGUUUCUGUUAUAAACAAGCCUGUAUUGAUGUUGAGCCCUCCCUUCUACUUUAUUUAAGUAUUUCAUACAUUAUCUGGAAGCUAAAGUCUGUGGCUCAUAUCCUUUGUCACUUAUCUUGGUAUUUUGUCUUUAUAAAGUGUCUUCUGUGGCUCUCCAUUACAAAGGGUUAUGAAAAAGAUGUGGUUGUAAGGGUAUUCUCUUCUUUUGUCCGGACCUCUUCUUUUGGUGGUAACUUUUGUUGAAAUCCAAAAAAAAUUCAAAGAGAAAAAGAGAAGAAAAAAAAAUGUAGGAUUUCUUGUUAUGAAUUCUCUUGAAAAUAGGUGCAAUACUAUUACAAUUUAAAUAGACCUAAUAAAAGAAGAUAAAGACUAUUUUACCCUUACUUCUAAAGAUAUAGAAAAUAAUUCCAACAUUGUAACUAAAUAAACAACAAAUUAUUUUUUUGCCCUUUAGAAAAUUUUCCAUCACAUAACUCCAAAACAAAUAAUUUUAUUUUUUUGUAUCCAAUUUCCUACUAUUAGAUUAAAGGAAUCAUUUCAUUCACUAUGAUGAAUAAAAAACAAAUAACUAUCAAACAAAAAAAAAGCAUAUAUGAAUAAAAGAAAACGAAUACGAAAUCAAAUACUAUGAUCAAAUUAGAAAAGAAUUAUGUCAUUUAUCUUGGUAUUUUGUCUUUAUAAAGUGUCUUCUAUGGCUCACCAUUGCCACUUAUCAAAAGUUUAAUUAAAAGAUUAUUUUUGCUCUAAUACCAGGUUGAAAUCCAAAAAACGAUUUAAAGACAAAAAUAUUGAGAAAAAACAAAAUUUAGGAUUUCUUUUAAAAAUAACUCCAACAUCAUUAGAAUUUAAAUAAACAUAAUAAAAGAAAAUAAAAACUAUUUUAAUCUUGUAGAAAGAAAGAAAAUAAUUCUAAUAUAGUAACUAAAUAUAUAAUAACUAAAUAAUACAUAAUUCUAAUAUACUAACUAAAUAUAUCAAUAACUUCUAAUACCUUUUAAGAUUGGAUACCGUAGAUGGGCCCUUUUAAAUAAUAUUUCUUUGAUGUGAUGAUGGGUUGGAUAUUUUAGUAAAAUAUAGUGGGACUUAUUUUGGUUCUUUGAUUAUGAACUAAUAAUUGGUGAUACUCCAAAUGCAAUAUUUGAGUGUAUUAAUUUUUGCUAUGAUUAUUUUAAAUUAUGGUUACAUCGUAGAGGUCUUUUUCACAAGUAUAAUUGAUUAUAAAUAUAAUUAUAAUUUUAUUGUAAGACAUUUGAUAAAACCUAAUACAUAAUACUUAAUGAUUUAAGAUGAGUUUAAGUUAAAUUAUAUUUAAGUCAUUAAAUUAAUUGAGCAAAUGUCUUCAAAUUAUUUUUAAUUUUAAGUUAUAAUAUUUAUUAUGUGUUAGGAAUUUUAGGCUAAUCCAAUCUAUGGUAAUCACCUUAGAGGGAGAGGGGCGGGAAGGGGGUGAAUAGCGUGAUAGUCUCUUUUCACAAAUUUAAACAAGUGAAUGAAGAGACAAUUAUAUGCAAGUAUAUAAUAAGCAAUAUAAAGACAAUUGCAUAUAAAUUAAAGAGUACGGAAGAGAGAAUGCAAACACAAGUGUUUAUAGUGGUUCAGCGCAACCCAACCUACAUCCACUCUCCUCUAGCUUCAAUCCCAAGCUUGAGUUUCCUUUAAUCCAAGGCUUCCAACCCAAGCCUUCAAGCAAUACAAUUGGAUUAUGGUUCCAAUUCACCCUCUUGGACUUUUGGCUCCAAGCACCCUUUACACUUCACAAGAGAUAUCCCCCUCUUGAAAAACUUUCUCUUAAGAAUUUACAAAUAAAAGAUCACACAAAAAUCCUAGCACAAGAACUUUAAGCUCAAAUGAUACAAGAGAAACUAGGAUUGAAUGGUGCACUAAAGAUAUGCAAGUUUUGAAAUAAUGGUGCACUCAAAAAUACUAUUCCAAGGCUCAAAUAUAAUUAAGAAAGAUUUGGGAAGGUUAAUCUUUUUAAACAAUGAAGUUUGGAGCCUUUUUAUAGAAGAGAAAAACCAAACUAGUCGUUUGGGGGUUUGACCGGUCGAGCUAGGGGUCGACCGGUUGACUAGCCGUUAGCAUUAAAUGCUUGGCAGGUGACCAUUAGCCUCAACCGGACCUCGACCGGACCUCGACCGGUCCUCGACCAAGAAGAGAAGGCCACUGGGAGAGAGAGAAACUUUUUGGCCUUCCUCAACCGGUCCUCGACCAGACGAGCGCAACCGGUCCACCGGUUCCUCAACCAGUUGAACCGGUUGAGCCAUUUUUUGGCUCAACACCCAAUCUUUUUCAACUUAAAACCUUUUAAAACAAGUUUGAAAGAUAUUUAACACAAGGUUUUAGUUGAAAACAUGAAAUCAUUCAAUUCUUAAGAUAUUUAAAACAAUAUUACUUUUGGAUGAUUUUGGUGCAUAAAUAAAGAAUGAAAUGCAUGAAGUCCUAGUGCACCAACAGCCUUACAAAGAGAUCUUAUGAAGCUUGGGUCUUGAAAAACUCUUCUCUUUGAGGUGGUCUUCUUCUUCAUGAUUUCUCCUUGACUUGAUUUGUCUUUGUGAUUGCCACUUUGGAGAUCGUUUUGCCUAAUCACACUUGAAAUAUGAUCAUUAGUUCUAAACCUUGUUUUGUUAUCAUCAAAAUCAAGAUUAACCAAACCAUGGUUUCACAUUAUGAUUAAUAAUUUAUGUGAUUAGGUCGUUAAGAUAAUUUACCUAAUAAAUUUCUCUUACUUAGAUAAUCUUAUGAGAAGCAAACCUUGGCAUUCACUCUCACCUUUUACAAAGCUUUACUUCCUUGAUUUUCCAAGGGUGCUAUCGCUGAAACAUGAUGGUUUUGGAGGCUAUGUUGUUGAAUGUCCCAAAACCAUAUUGGAUUAGUUUCACCAUCACUUAGAACUCUUGGGUUGGAGCCCAUUUGACCAUAUUAUUUUAUACUUAUUGUUAUAAAAAUUAGGCUAAUACAACCUAGAGUAAUCACCCUAGAGAUGGGGUGAAUAGGGUGAUGGUAUUAUUUUGUAAAUUUAAAUUAUAUGAAUGCAAGAAACAAUUAUAUGCAAAUAUAUAAUAAAACAAUAUAAAGACAAUUGCAUAUAAAAUAAAAGAGUAGGGAAGAGAGAAUGCAAACACAAGAUUUUUAUAGUGGUUUAACGUAACCCAGCUUACAUCCACUCUCUUCUAGCUUCAAUCCCAAGCUUAAGGUUCCAUUAAUUUAAGGUUUUCAAACCAAGUCUUCAAGCAAUACAAUUGGAUUAUGGUUUCAACCACUAUCUUGGACUUUUGGCUCUAAGCACCCUUUACAAUCUCCAAGAGAUAUCUCACUCUUGAACAACCCUUCAAGUGACACUCCACACUUGAGAAUCCCUAAGUGAUACUUCACACUUAGAUUUUUAAUCUCAAAGAUUUAAAGAAGAAUCCUAGUACAAAACUUUAAGCUCAAAUGUACAAGAAAAACUGGGAUUGAAAGGUGUACUAGUGAUAUGCAAGUUUUAGAACAAUGGUGCACUAAAAAAUACUCUUCCAAUGCUCAAAUAUAUUUAAUUAAGGUUUAGGAAGUUAAAACUCUUGAAACAAUGAAGAUUGAAGCUUUUUCAUAAAAGAAAAAAACCAAAUUAGGCAUUAGGGGUUCUUUCGGUCGAGCUCCGAUUCAAUCGGUUCACUAGCCGUUAGCAUUUAAUGCAUGACAGAUGACCAUUGGACCUCGACCGUCCCUUAACCACCCAUCGAUUGGACCUUGACUGGUUGAAAAAGCAUUCUAGAAUAAAUAUAAGGUUUUUGCACCAUUCAAUCGAUUGAGCUAAACGAGUCGACUGGUUUCUCGUCUGGUUCAACUGGUUGAGUCGUUUUUUGCUCAACAACCAUCAUUUUUAACUUAAAACCUUUUUAAAAGGUUUAGAAAAUAUUUGACACAAGGUUUUAGUUGAAAACAUGAAAUCAUCCAGAGAGAAGAACUCAUGGAAAAUAUAGAAUGAAUGAAACUAAGGGAUCAAGACACAUCCAAAGAAGGAUGAACAAUGAACCCCAAAAGAAGAUAGAAAACCCCUCACAAUCUAACCCAAUUUGUUUUAAGUGUGGUAAGGUAGACCACUAAUAAGAAAGAUUGUAAGGUUAAAAAGAAAAUUAAUAACUUAAACAUUUCAAAAGACUUAAAAGACAUGCUUUGCAAAGUAAUAUUAAACUCCUCAGAAUUUGAAUCAAGGACUGGUUCAAAUAAUGCAAGGAAAGGGAAGACCGUCCGCCCACACAUAUGCUUCCACAGCUUCACAAACAUAGCCCUAGCUGCUGCAUUAUUGGUCUUAGGAACCAGCCGCCAGACCAGCCCAACAAAUCAUAUUGGGUUGUAGCCAUCUUUUCUGUCAGUUUUUUCUUCUUUUCUAGGGUUGCAGAUGCAUCAAGAUAUAUAUCUUUUGUUUUAUAUGAUGAGGAAGUCAUCAUCACCUUUUUCGUUCGUCUUUCACAUACAAACUCUUAUGUAGCUUGAAUCUCGUCUUUUACAUCAUCAGCCGUAUUUGUCUGUUUCUGUUAUAAACAAGCCUGUACUGAUGUUGCUGAGCCCUCCCUUCUACUUUAUUUAUGUACUUCAUACAUUAUCUGGAAGCUAAAGUCUGCGGCUCAUUUCCUUUGUCACUUAUCUUGGUAUUUUGUCUUUAUAAAGUGUCUUCUCCCGAGAAAUCGGCGAUAUAUCGGCGAUUUUUCCCGCUUUCGAGGGGAUUUGAACCCCAAACCAAAAGAAUAUAUUGUGCACUAAACUUAUAUAUACUUAAACUCAUUAUAUAAAGAAAAUAUUAAAAGAAUAUUUUAAAGAGCAAAUUAAUUAUAAUUAUUUUAUAAUUAAAUACAAAAUUUUCUUUUAAUUGAUUACCAAAAAUAUAAAAAUUAUAUAAUUUUCUUCAUAAUGUUUUUAAUAUCAUUAAUAAUUAAUUAAAUAUUAAAAAAAAUUUAUAUAUAUAUAUAUAUAUAUAUCAUAAUUUAUUUUAUAUUGUUUAAUACAAUUAAAUUAAAUGGAUCAUAAUUUUAAUAUUAAUAUAUAUUUUAAAAUUAGACAUAUUAUAAUCAAAUAUCAUAAUAGUAGAUGUAAUUUAAUAAUAAAUGUACACUUAUAAAAUUCAUAUUUUUAUCGAUGCAUACGAUAUUAUUAUCAAAUAUGAUAAAUCAUGUUAUACAUAUAUCAAAAUUUUUCAAUAAAAUAACUUUAAAAUGUCUAUUAUACUUCUAAUUAUAUUAUUAUGAGGUUUUCCUUACAUUUUUAUGAGUUUUUAAUAAUUUUAAGUCUACCGAUAUUUUUUUCCAAAAUAUCCGCCGAUAUAUCUCCAAUAUAUCCGAUAUAUACGUAAAAUCGAAGUACCGAUAUUUUCAUCCUUGGUUACAUCUUAGAGGUUUUUUUUCAUAAGUAUAAUUGAUUAUAAAUAUAAUUAUAAUAUUAUUAUAAGACAUUUGAUAAAACUUAAUACAUAAUACUUAAUGAUUUAAGAUGCGUUUAAGUUAAAUUAUAUUUAAGUCAUUAAAUUAAUUGAACAAAUAUCUUCAAAUUAUUUUUAAUUUUAAGUUAUAAUAUUGAUUAUGAUUAAUAAUUUAUGUGAUUAGGUCGUUAAGAUAAUUUUUCUAAUAAAUUUCUUUCACUUAGAUAAUUUUAUGAGGAGCAAACCCUGGCAUUCACUCUCACCCUUUUACAAAGCUUUACUUCCUUGAUUUUCUAAGGGUGCUAUUGCUCAAACAUGAUGGUUUUGGAAGCUAUGUUGUUGAAUGUCCCAAAACCGUAUUGGAUUAGUUUCACCAUCACUUAGAACCCUUGGGUUAGAGCCCAUUUGACCAUAUUAUUCUACACUUAUUUUUAGAAAUUGUUUUGAAGUUAAAAAAAAAAAAGUUACAGUUUUUAUUUUCUAAAAACAAUGGUGUUUAGCAACUUUGUUUUUAAAAACACUUUUUAAAAAAUUUUAAAAAAAAAUUGGAUAAUUUUUUUUAAUAUUUCGAUUUUAUAAAAAAAAUCAUAGACUUAAUGUAUAUAAUAUUAAUUAAAUUUAAUUCAAGCCUUGUGUAGACCCCUUUUAUUGGAGGGACCCGGGGGGGAGAGUUUUUUUUUUUUUUUUCUCUCUCUCUUUUGGGCAUUUCUUUUUUUUAACAAAAGGGGGGGACCAACUGCAGGAGAGGAGGAGGAGCAGGGAUGGCCAUAAUUUGAGGGGUCAUGCCUGCUAAUGAGGACACAGGAGAGUGGGUGAGAGAGACAGGAGGGUCUUGAGGUUAGGAGGGAAGCUGGUUGGAGGUAGCCUGAAGGUAUGACUGCUAUGAAUGCUUGGGUUUUUCUUCAUUGGAGCAUAAUCUCUCUCUGUUUUUCUAGAUUUUUUUUUUAUGUGGAUCGUUUGGCUCUGUGUUUAGUUUUAUGGUUUAUGCUUGGUUGCUAUCUCCUUCAUUUUUCCAUGGGAUGCAUGUUUGAUUUAACUCACCCUCAUCUAAACCCAUUGAUUCAAACAUGUAAUAUGGCUUGGAUGGGUUCGUUUUAUCCUUUCCCAUUGUGCUCUAUUUGCUAUUUUCCCAUGUUCUCAAUGCCCUGCCAUGGUGAAUACCAUAGUUCUCCAUUUUGUCGGAGAUUUUAUACCGGAGAGCACCCACAAUCGCGGCCUCAGGUGCAGCCAGUGUUGGUGCUGGCGGGGGCAGGCGCUGGCUAGUGCUGACAGGCGCUAGUUGGUGCUGGUUGGUGCUGGUUAGUGUUGGCUGGUGCUGGCUGGCACUAGCUGGUGCAGGCGCUAGCGCGGCAUCCAGUGACGAUGCCGAUGCCACCCCAGGCAACUCAUUCCACACCGGCAACCUUUCUCCUUCUUCCACCUUGGGCUCGCCCAUUGAUGAUGGGUGUGGGACUGAGUUAGAGCCCAGGCCCGUUUGUGAGGGUGAGGAGCCUCAUGCCAGCCAUCUUCCUAGCCUAAGUCCACCUUAAGUUGGUGCCUUGGGCUUGCCCAUAUUGGUGACAGGUUUGGGCUUAAGUUGGAGCCCAGGCCCACAGUUGCUGAUGAAAGGCCCUUUUGCUCCCUAUGCUAUCCAUCUCCAUGGCCCAAGUCCAUGUUGGAUUAGCCCAUUUGGCCACAUUAUGUCUAAACAAGUUUUUGAAUCCCUAACCUUAGUAAAUUAUUAACUUAUUCAUGCUUUUUUUUAUUAUUAUUAUUUAUUCUUAUUUUAUCUUCACCAAUUUAGUUAGCUCAACUUAAAGACAAUUAAAAGAUAAAUUAUUAUUGUUAAUUAUAUUUUUAUCUUGAAAUUUACACGAUUCAAUUUCACUAGUUUAAACAUUAUGAUUGUCAACUAUUAUUAUUAUUUCGUACGUAUCUAUUCAUCAUCUUUCAAAAUCUCAAUCAUCAAAGUUAAAUUCUAAUCCUUCAAAAACCCCAUAUCUUAAUCUAAUAUUUCAAUAAUCCGUUUAAAUCUCGUUUUCAUCAAUUAAGAAUUAUUAUCAUAUAUUUAUCUAGUUAUUUGAAGUUUUACCCUUUCAAAAAUCCCAUAUCUUAAUUCAAUUUUUCAAUAGUUCGUUCAAACCUUAUUCGUCUAAAUGUUAUCUUCCUUAAGUAGAAUUAUUAUCAUAUAUCUAUUUAUUUAUUUAAAGUCUAAUUCCUCAAAAACCCAGCGUCCUAAUUUAAUUCUCGACCCUAAAAAUUCCACUAUUCUUUUUUAUUCGUCUAAAUGUCAUUUUCGUUAAUUAAGAAUUAUUGUCUCAUAUUUAUUUAUUCAAAGUCUAAUCCUUCAAAAAUCCAAUGUCAUAAUUUAAUUUUCAAUCCUAAAAAUUCCACUAUUCGUCUAAGUGUUAUUUUCGUCAAUUAGAAACUCGAUACUUGUUUACCUCUUUUAAAAAUCUCAAUCAUUGAACUUAAUUCUUGACCCUAAAAAUUCCACCAUCCUUUUUUUUAUUCGUUUAAAUGUUGUUUUCAUUAAUUAGUAUUAUUACCCCAUAUUAGUUUAUUUAUUUAAAAUCUAAUUCUUCAAAAACCUCAUGUCUUAAUUUAAUUUUUCAAUCCUAAAAAAUUCUACGAUUCGUUAAAAUGUUAUCCUCAUCAAUUAGCAUCAUUAUCCCAUAUCUAUUUAAAGUCCAAUCUUUCGAAAACCUCAUGUCCUAAUUUAACUUUCAAUCCUAGAAAUUUCGUUAUCCGCCUAAAUGUUAUUUUCAGUAGUUAGAAUUAUUAUCAUAUAUCUAUUUAUUUAUUUAAAGUCUAACUCUUCAAAAAUUCAACGUCUUAAUUUAAUUUUUAAUCCUAAAAAUUCCACUACUCAUUUUCUAUUCGUUUAAAAUAUUGUUUUCAUUAAGUAGCAUUAUUAUACCAUAUUAUCUAUUUAAUCUAACCGUUAAAAUUCAAUUCAUCAGAACCCGACUUCCAAAUCUAAUUUCCAACCUCAAAAGCUCCACCGCCCACAUAUCGUCGUUUAAUGAUUAUUUUCGUUAUCAAUGUUAUCCCAUCCACUCGCUUAUUCAGUUAUUCAUAUACCAAAGAUCUCAUCUGUAAAUAAAUUCUUAAGUUUUCAAUCUCUAAAUUCACAUCUUCAAAUCUCUAAAAUUCCAUCUUUCGCAAUUAUUUACCUAAACUCUAUUGUUUCACCAUCGCUAUUUCAUUCCUUUACUUAUUCACUCAUCCACUUAUCCCCUCAUUUAAAAUCCCGAACUUUCAAAUCAUUUUCAAGUUUCCAACCUCGUUCAAAUUUAAUUUCUAAAAAUUCUCAUUCUCACAUUUAAUUCCUGAAAGUCCAAUCUUCAAGUAAACUCUAAAAUCCCAAUUUUCUUUAAAUAACCCUCGGGACUCCAAUAUUUCAAAUGAACUUCAAAAAUCCAAUUUUCUCUCAAAUAGCUUUAAUUCCAUUCUGGCCUUCAAACAAUCUUCUGCUCCUCUUGAUUUUAAUAAGCCUGAAUGAAUUUUCCGUAAUUCCGAAUAAUGGAAUUUAUGGGAUUAAUUCAUGCAAUAUAAAUCGGGCUUUGGUGGGGGCCCAACAUAUGUGAUUUCCUUAUGAUUGAUUGAUUGUUUGCUUGAUUUAAUUAUCAUGCAUGAUUAAUUUUAUUCUACUCUAUGACAUGCUCGAAAUUAUUCCUUAAUUGUGCACUAACCUCACUUCUUGAUAGCGCUUUAUGGAUCACUACCCAGGUACGCAUCCACAUCCGCUCGGGUCAUUUUCUGUAUGCAUGUUUAGAUUCUCACAUGUGCAUGAUCACUCUGAGUAUUCAUUGAUUCCCUCAUCAAUUGUCAUGAUUGCUUCAUUUUAUUAGUAGAGACUCAACUUUAGGGACUUAGAAGGGUGCUACGGUCCUUACCGUACAUUCUUGAUAAGUAACCUGUCCCCCGAACCCGAUCCGGUUUUUCGUAGACCACUUUUUCCAAAUAAGGAGUCACACUUAGGGUUUUUUCUUUCUUAUUUUGUUUACUCUUUUAAAAAUAAAACAAAAAUAAGUGGCGACUCCAAGUCAUCUUUCUAGAAAACACCAUAAAAUCAAAUUUUCAAAUAAAAAAUGCGUUUCACCAUCGAGUGGGAAACGCAUGAGCCGAAAUGCGAGGUCCACACCUUGUUAAAAAUAAAAAUAAUUUUGUAAGAAAUAAAUAUAAGUUAUAGUUUAGAUUAUUUGUUAAAUAUGGGUCACUAUUUGGAUUUCAAAUUAUUUUUAAAGUUACUAAACUUAUUAAUAAAUUAAAUGGAAUAAGUCUUGCUUGAUGUGAAGUCUAUUUGUUUGGUAAAAAAAAAAAAAGGAAAUAUGAUUUCAUGCAAAAAAGAAAAAUAAGUUAUUAUGAAUUAAUUUUUGUCCAUAUAAUUCUUGUAUUAAUUGAAUCAUUAUUUGAGUUCUAAACUAUUUUUAAAAAAUUGUUGGACUGGUUGAUAAAUCCAAUACAUCAAGUUUUACUUGAUUUGAAGUUUAUUUGUCUACUAAACAGAUUUGAAAAAAUAUAAUUAUAUGUAACAAAAAAAACAUUGGAAAGUUAUUCAAAAUUGGAUUAGCUUUUAGUUCCAAGAUUUUCUAAUAUUAUUGGUUUUUUAGUCUUGAAUUGUUUUUAAAAAUUAGAAAACACAAAAAUGUUUUAAAAUUACAUGGUCAAAUAAACUAUUAGACCCUAUUUGACUUUCUGAUUUAAAAAUAGGUAACUAUUUUUAAAAAUUCAUAGCACUUUUUUUUAUGCGAACCUCAAUCAACACGAUUUGAGACCCAACAAAUAGUAUUGGAAUAAUGCCCAAGAAAGCUAAAAUACAAAUUUUUGAUAGAACCCUGACCCAAUGCUUAUAAGUGAAACGCAAACCAAAAGUAUAAGUAACAGACCUUGACCCAAUGAUUACAAUGGAAUCACGAACCAAAGGUAUAAGGUUUGAACGCCACAAGGAAGAAUCUCUGAUAAGUUCACAGUUUUGAAGAACCAAAAGAAGAGCAAAGCCUCACCUUUUCUGAUUUUUUAUUCAAUUAAAAUUAUCCCCCAUUACAAUGAGUGCAUGCUAUUUAUAUGUCAUGAAAAAAACUUAUUAAAUAUUAAAACCCUAAACUAAAAAAGGUACUAAAUAUUAAAACCCUAAAUAAAGGUUGAUUUGGUCAGAAAUUAGCAGAUCCAAAAUAGGAAAAUAGCUAAAAAAACGUUCUAAAUAAUAAAAGCUUAAAAUUAAGGUAGAUUUGGCCUGAAUUUAGAAGCUCUAGAAUAGGAAAUAAUUGAUAUGAAGUUGGAAAGUCAACCAGUCAUUAAUCCAUGCCAUAAAUCAUGCCCAAUCAAGCCAAAUUAGCCCUCAAUAGCUUGGAUUAAAUUUAUUACACAUUCAUCUUCCUUUAGGCCAAACUUGGACUAUCUUGCGUUAGAAUCAAUCCAAAUCUCUUGAAGUAUCCCAUUAAGUUCUUUUUUGAUCUUCUUAGAUCUUGCUUUAGUAAUAAGCCCAAUUGGAACAUGCAAUGGAUCCUUGAAUGCUUGUUGAUUCUCAUCAUUUUUUGUCAUAGUUUUUAUUUCUAAUUUUUAGAAACAAAAGAAAAUAGAGAAUAUUUUUUAAAAGAGAAGUAGAAGUUGUUUUUACUAGUUUAUAAAAACAAAGUAAAAACAUAAAGAAAUUUAAAGAAAAAAAAAUCAUAAAAAGACAAAUAAAAUCGUAUAUGAUAUAUUUCUUUCUCUCUCUAUAGAAAUUGAAAAUCUUCAAAUAUGAUAUUCCUUUGAAUUAUUUAUAUAAAAUUGUAUAUGAUACUUUUCCCAACCACUCCACCCACUCUCUCUCCUUUUUGCCCAUACCACUCACCUAGGAGACUCAUACCCCUUUUCCUUAGGAAUGGCAAUUUUUUGGGUAAUUCGGGUCACCCGCCCCGCCCCGCUCCUACUGGGACGGGUAUGAGAAUAUCCUAUUUGGACAUAGAACAGGUUUGGGGAAUAUAUAAAAACCCGAAUCAGGUUUAGGGCGGGGAUGGGUUUUGCAGUUUCCGCCCCGUCCUGUAUGUGAAUUACCAAUUUACCCUUAUGUCAUUACAAAAUACCCAAAAAGUCUUUCAUAUAUAAUCAUUUCUUCCUCAAGUUUUAGGGUUAUUUCACUCGUGAGAGAGUCAAAGGGCUUUCGCUCUUAGAGGGCUUUCGUUCUCAUUUCUUCCCGUUUUCUCAUUCUUCCUAAAUUGCUCAGGGUUCUUUUGCUUGUAAGAGGCCUUUCGUUUUCUCAUUUCUUCCCAUUUUCUCAUUUAUUCCUGAAUUGUUUCUUCCCGUUUCACCCUAAAAGCACAAUUUUUGCUCUAAAAACCAAACUACCAAAUUCGUAGACAACAAAUUAUUAGGGUUUCUAUGGAUUCCUCAUUUCCAAGUAAGAAAACCCUAAGUUUUGAGGUUUUGUUAGAAAUGUCUUGUUUUUCAUAUUUUCUGGUUUUGGUUGAUGGAUUUGAGAUUUUUUGGGUUGUUUAUUUGUAGAUCUAUGCAUUUUGUUCUUGUAUGUGCAGUUUGCAAUUUUGUUGCACAACAAAUGCUUGAUUAAAUGUGUUUAUGAUAACCCAGAUAACGUUUAUUGAAAUUUCAGAGACCCAUGUUCUGUAAAAGCAUAAUUCCCGAAAAUGCAUUUGGGACAGGGAUGAGAUUAUCAGCUCUUUUGUAAACGGGCAUAGGGAACACCAACUCGCCCCGCCCCGGGUUUGGGACGGGGAUGGGAAAAAACAUAUAUAACCGGGAUGGAAAUGAGGUAAGGGUGGCCCGUCCCAUACUCGCCAUGUUGCUAUCCCUACUUCUCCUCUUUUUUUUUUUUUUUUCUUUUCUUUUCCCAUUUUUUUUUUUUUUUUUUGUUGUUGCUCUUCUUCUUCUUCUUCUUCCACAUUGUCCCAUAGCCUUCUCUCCCUCCCUUUUUCUCCCAUUCUUUUUGCUCACAUUUCUACUCUUCUUUUUUUUUUCCAAAAAAAUCUAUCACUCCUCACCACCGCCAAUAAGACCACCAACCAAUCACCGUCAGUGAACCAUUGCCGACAACCCCCUUCUCUUCUCUCACUUUCUCAUCUCACUCAUUUUCCGUUUUUAUUAUUCAUUUUAUUUUAUUUUCCUUUUUCCUUUUUUUUCUUCUUUCUUUCUUUCUCCCUUUAACUCCAUUGUCGGCCACUUGCCGCCAGCUAACAAUUCCGACAACCCAUAGAUUCUUCAAAAAAAAAAAAUGUGUAAGCCCAUUUAUGUAUUUCUUUAUUUUAUUUUUCUUAUUAUUAUCAUUUUUUUUUUUGUUUGUGAGAUUUGAAUUGUUGAAUUAAUAUGAAAUUUGGGCUUUGUUAAUUAAUAUAGAAUUUAGGUUGUGGAUAUAUUCCAUUUUUUGGUUAAUUUGAGGUAUUUGGAUUAGGCCAAUUCCAUAUUGUUUACCUUAUUUGGACUUACGGCUCAUUGUUUAUUGAUUAUUUAUUUGGCUUAUUGGAUUGGGAUUGAGACCUUAUUUCCUUUGGCCUUGCAUAUUAUUAAUGUGGGCUUGUUAAAUAAUAUGAAACUUGAGCUCAUUUGUUGUGGAUAAAAUUUGUUGGAUUGGAUGAUAAUUGAUAUGAGUUUUAUCCAUUUGAAAUAUGUAAUUGGGGCAUGAGACAAUUGUGGUAUAUUUUGGAUGUUAUUUCGAGUUUACAUAUUAAAUUGGGCUCAAUUAUUUUGGAUUAUGGGAUAUUGAAUUUAGGCCUAAUUGAAUUUGUUUUAAUUAUCAAAUUUUUGGGUUUGGUUGAUUGUGUUUGUAUUUUGGUUAUUAAUUUGAAAUUUUUUUGUUAAGACCUAUAACAUGUGAGAUAUUUCUAUUGAGUUAUAUUUGCUAAUUUAGACUCAUUUUGAUAGACGAAAUUUAUUAGACUAAUUUGAAUUUUGAAUUUGGGUUUGAAUAUUUGUUUGGGAUUUUGUACAUUUUUUUUAUAUUUAUGACAUGUGGAGUAUGAAAUUUUAUGAAAGAAAGUGAGACUCAAAAAGUUGUAUGAAGACAUUGAACUUGUUGUAAGCUUGUUGGGGUAUCCAUUUUAUUUCCCGCUUUUAUUUGGUUUAUUUUUAUUAAUUUUUAUAAAUAUUUGUUUGUGUAUAAUUACUCAUUGUGUACAUAAUUUAAUAUCAAACAAAUCAUAAAUUUUGUUUAAAUAAGAGGAACAAUUCAGUAAACAUGUUUUAAUAAAAUAAUAGUUCAUAAAAUAUUCUUUUUAAUAAAAAUAAGUUUUCAAAAUGUUUUUAGGAAAAUCUAGAAAAUUGUUUUUAAUAAUAAUUGUUUGACAAAAAAUGGUUUUUUAAAUAAAUUCUAUUUUCUUAAUUAGAUAUGAUUAAAAGUAAUUUUUUAUAGAUAAGGGUCUUAAAUAAUUUUUUUAAUAAGAAUGAAAUUUGCAAAUCGAAGUUGUAGAAAUCAUUUUUUAAUAAAAUUGGGUUGAAAAUAUUUUCAUAAACAAAGUUUGUAAAGAAAUUAAUUCAUUUUGUAAAUAAAGAUGUAAAAAUUCAUUCAUUUUUUAAUAAAAACAAAAAAAAAAAUAUUUUUUUUUGUCAAAUUGAAAUUUUGUAAUAAAUUGUUUUGAUAAGAUAAAUGUAUACAACUUUCUUGAAAAGAAAAAUUGAAAACAAAUAAAGAUGAAUAAAAUCAUUUAUUGAAAAUAAAUGGAAAUUUUUUUUUUUUUUGUAAAUAAUUAAAUUGAAAUCAUCAAUUCAAAAUUGUUUUAAUAAAAUCCUUUGAAAUUAAAAAAAAAAAAUCAUUUUUUAAAAUAUAUUUUUUAAUCCAUUCAAUCAAUCAAUUUGCAUAAUUCUUUUGUCAUUUAUUUUGUGUAUUCUUGUAAUUAGAUUUCAUCAUUAUUUUUUUAUAUAUUGAUUUUCACUAUGACUUGUAAAUACUCAUUUAUGUUAUUAUUUUUUUUUUUUGUAUUCAUAAUUAAUUAAUUAAUUUUCACAAUUCCCUUGAUUCGUUUAGUAGAGACCAUAUGUAUACGGGCUUAGAAGAGUGUUACAGCUCACCACCGUACCUUUCCAAUAGGUAACCUAACCCACGGAUCUAGACUCGGUUUUUCAUAAACCUGUUUUUCCUUCAGGAGUCACACUUAGAGUUUUUCUUUUUUAUUUUGUUUUUCCCUUUAAAAAUAAAAUAAAAAUAAGUGGCGAGUCCAAGUCUUUUUUUAAAAUCAUAUUUUCACCAAAUGAAAAGCAAAUCUCGUUGUUGAGUGAGGAUGCACAUGAAAAAUGUGGGUCCAUAGUGUUAUAUUCAUCAACAAGUAUGAUAAUUUAAAAAAUAAAUCAAUUUGAAAAUCAAAUGGUAACCAAUUAAUACAAAAUAUUUAUAGAUAAAAAUUGUUUCACAAAUACUCUAUUAUUUCCUUUUUUUUUACACAUAAUUAUUAUGAAAUUAAGGUCUGGUUAAUCUCGAUUUUGAUGAUAACAAAAUAAGGUUUAGAACUAAUGAUUAUAUUUCAAGUGUGAUUAGGCAAGACGAUUUCCAAAGUGGCAAUCACAAAGACAAAUCAAGCCAAGAAGAAAUCAUAAAGAAGAAAACCACCUCAAAGAGAAGUGUUUUUCAAGACCCAAGCUUCAUAAGAUCUCUUUGUAAGGUUGUUGGUGCACUAGGAUUUUCAUGCUUUACAUUUUUUACUUAUGCACCAAAAUCAUCCCAGAAUUAUUUUGUUUUAAAUAUUUUAAAAUUUGAUGAUUUCAUGUUUUCAACUAAAACCUUGUGUCAAAUGUUUUUCAAACUUGUUUAAAAGGUUUUAAAUUGAAAAAGUUGGUUGUUGAGCCAAAAAUGACUCAAUCGGUUGAACCAAAUGAGGAACCAAUCGACCCCUAGCUCAACCGAUCUAGGAGCAGGUCGACCCCCAGUUCAACCUGUCAAUGGUGUAAACAGUAACCGAUUAACCCCUAACUCAACCGGUCGAGGGGUGCAAAAAACCUUAUCUCUCUUCUAGAAUGGUUGUUCAACUUGAUGAGGAACUGGUCGAGGUCCAACGGUCACCUGCCAAGCAUUAAAUGCUAAUGGUUAGUCAACCGAUCGACCCCCAACUUGACUAAUCAAACCUCCAACGGCUAGUUUGGCUUUUUUCCUCUAUAAAAAGGCUCCAAAUCUUCAUUGUUUAUGAGCUCAACCUUCCCAAACCUUUCUUGAAUAUAUUUGAGCCUUGGAAGAGUGUUUUGAGUGCACCAUUGUUCUAAAACUUGCAUAUCAUUAGUGCAUCAUUCAAUUCUAGUUUUCUUGUAUCAUUUGAGCUUAAAUUUUUGUACUAGGAUAUUGUGAGAUCAAUUAUUUAUAUAACUUUGAGAGGAAGAUUCUCAAGUGUGGGGUAUCACUUAGGAGGUUGUUCAAGAGUGGGGUAUCCCUUGAGAAUUGUAAAGGGUGCUUGGAGUCAAAAGUCCAAAAAAGUGGAUUGGAACCAUAAUCCAAUUGUAUUGCUUGAAGGCUUGGUUUGGAAGCCUUGAAUUAGUGGAACCUCAAGCUUGGGAUUGAAGCUAGAAGAGAGUGAAUGUAGGUCGGGUUGCGCCGAACCACUAUAAAAUCUUGUGUUUGCAUUCUCUCUUCCCUAAUCUUUUACUUUAUAUGCAAUUGUCUUUAUAUUAUUCUGUUUAUAUACUUGCAUAUAAUUGUCUCUUGCAUUCACAUAGCUUAAUUUUGCAAAAAAAGAUCAUCCCCCUAUUCACCGCCCCUCUUUCGGGUGAUUACCAUAGGUUGGAUUAACCCAAUUUUUCUAACAAUUAUAAUAUUACUAUUUACAUUUUUACUAAAAACUAUUUAUUUGUAAAUUAUAAAUUUUUUUUCAUUUUUAAUUACACAUCAAUUAAAUUCAAUUAAUAUAAUUAAUAUUAUGCAAAUUGAAUUUAUAAUACAAAAAUCAAAAUAAAAAAUUAUUUUUAAAAAACAAUCUGCGAAAUAUCCGUAUUUUUGUAAAAUACUUAAAAAGAAUAAAAAAAGAGAAACUCUAUUUUCUUUUUAUAAACUUAAAAACAGUUUUUUUUUUAAAACAAACAUUACAAAACAUGGUCACUCGGGUCUUGAGGCCUCUAUCAACAUGUUUUGUUUGUUUUGUUUCCUUUAUUGCCCAAUUUUUGUGUAAGCUCUAAAUAAUGCCUCUUUCAAUCCUUUCCAAUUCCUCUGUUCGUGCACACUUUUUUUUUUUUUUAUGUUGCCAUGUAGGCAACAGUAUAGUUCUUGAUCCCCCAAUCAGAGAAAACUAAAAAAUUAUACAUAAUUCUUUGCUCCACUACUAAUGCAUUACAUCAAUAUCUGUCAUUAAUUAACUCUUACCACACAAAUUUUAUGCAGCAAUUGCCAUGAUUUUUGUACACUAAGAUCACAUACCAACCCCUGCACAUGCAUACACAUUGCUUUUAUUGAGAGAAUGGUUUCACACAUUUGAAUGUGGCAACAUUGGGAAGCAUCUUCAUUGUUUCAUUGCUUCAAUAAAGGUUUUGAAAUUUCUGUAAGAAGAUCCGCCUUCGCUUACACUCUUUCUAGCCAUUUCCUUCAACUUCUCUGCAUUUGCUUUUAUACCAUCAUCAGAGACCAACUUUUCAAUCUUCAUCUUAAUCUCAUGCCUCGAUAUGAAUCCAUUUUUAUCUGGGUUCAACCCCAAGCCCACCUUCCAUUUCUCGCAUAUGUAACUCUGGUUAUGGAAUUGAUCUCCUAAGUAGGGCCAGCAUAGGAAGGGGACUCCCAUGCCUAUGCCGCCCAUGGUUGAGUUCCAUCCACAAUGGGAAAAGAAACAUGCAACAGAAGGGUGAGCUAAAACCUCUUCUUGGGGUGCCCAUGAAACAAUCUUUCCAUGGUCAGCUACUCUCUCUAUGAAACCAUCUGGGUAUUCAGCAGCUGAUUCAUCGGUGAAGUCUGAUCGGACAACCCAUAAAAAUGGCCGCCCUACAAGUUCAAUGCCAAGUGCUAAUUCAUUGAAUUGGUGCUGGGUUAAGAUUGUAAAGCUGCCAAAGGCAACAUAAAUGACUGAGCCAGCAGGUUGUUUAUCGAGCCAGCCUAUGCAAGUUGAAUCCUCAGGCCAAAAGUUUGCAGCAUAAUGACCCGGAUCACUACUUGCAAGUAACGGG